GUGGGGAAUAUUGGACAAUGGGCGAAAGCCUGAUCCAGCCAUGCCGCGUGUGUGAAGAAGGUCUUCGGAUUGUAAAGCACUUUAAGUUGGGAGGAAGGGCAGUAAGUUAAUACCUUGCUGUUUUGACGUUACCGACAGAAUAAGCACCGGCUAACUUCGUGCCAGCAGCCGCGGUAAUACGAAGGGUGCAAGCGUUAAUCGGAAUUACUGGGCGUAAAGCGCGCGUAGGUGGUUUUGUAAGUUGGAGGUGAAAUCCCCGGGCUCAACCUGGGAACUGCCUCCAAAACUGCAUGACUAGAGUACGGUAGAGGGUAGUGGAAUUUCCUGUGUAGCGGUGAAAUGCGUAGAUAUAGGAAGGAACACCAGUGGCGAAGGCGACUACCUGGACUGAUACUGACACUGAGGUGCGAAAGCGUGGGGAGCAAACAGGAUUAGAACCCCGGUAGUCC
rnacentral:rRNA from 1 species